CAAUGUACCACGGCAGCUUGGUGGCAUGUUGCCUUUCACUUGGGGAGAGGUGGCUUGUAGAGGAGCCAUUUAACUGAACCUACUAGUGGAAGUGCUGCAAUCAACUCAGGAUGAAUUCUGCAAAUAGUGAGCUCUAACUGGAGCGCAUCAGAGAAUCAUUUGCAAACACUUUUUGGAUCAGCCAGACCAAUCACCGCGUAAGCCGAAGUCCAUGCACGAUGAAUAACCUGCUCACCCACUCAGCUUUCUGGCUGAUCAGUGCUGCUCUCUGAACAAGGCAUUUCAGAUCCACCCACAGUGUAGACGGCAGGGGUGUGAAUUGCAGCACACCCCAUUUUGUGCUGUAACGGCCCCAUGUUGACUCUGCUGGCACAAACUAGUUCAUAUGAACGUGGUGCAGAAAUGGCCCUGUGCUCACACAAACUGGGUCUCUCUCAGCAUGAGCUUCAGCGCAAAAAUGAAUGUACAAUUACAGCACAAAAACUUCAGUGUCUGCUACAACGUGGACAAGCACUAAAAGCAGAAGCAGAGGAAGAAAAUUUAUUCUCGCCAGCAGCUUUACGCAAACUUAUCUCCCAAGCCUAUAUAAAAUAGAGUAGUUCCAGGUAACCAUCACACGCAUGUUUGUAUUUACUGGAUAUAUUACUGAUUUCUUUUAAUAUGCAAAACUUUGUUGCUAUUGUUCUAUUAAUCUGGUCUAACAUUACUUCUGUAUAAUGUUACGUAGUGAUAAAAUAAGAAUCCAAAAUGUGUUUCUUUGAAUGAAAUACUUUAUUCGAAUACGGUGACUCCUUCCACCUUACACAGGUAGAACCAAGACGUGCUAGGAUCAGCCAUUAACAAACCUCUGCUUCAAGAGUUACCUUGUAAAGAAGCACACAAGUCUAUGUAACUCAGUUAAGGUCACAGCUUAGCUCAUGAUUCAGCAUUUGAGAUUUGCAAUAAGUGGAUACUGACUUCAGUGGAGGUGUCCAGUUAUUGACCUGAAAGCUAAAAAACUAGCCAAGAUGCAGUAGAAGUCAACAUGGAAGUGACUGUACGUCUCAGACAACUAACAUCAGUACCUGUCAAUCAUCUACAGCGUCACCAUUCUGGCUAUAGAACGGUCAACCGUAACAGCUUGCUACUGACGUAACAUUCUAAAUUAGAACUUAAAUUAAUUAGACAGUCCAGUCGGGACGUGGAAAGUUGGAUACAAAAUCUUAGGGGAAAGGUCCAGUGAAAACCUACCAAUAGGACUGCAGUAGCAUUUGCAAUGUAGAGCAGUUUUGUGCCUCCGACCUGGCAUAUGCUGUACAUGGACGUAAGCCAAGAUGCUUGCUGCACACCGGGCAAGAGACUCAACAC